UCGGAUAUGGUGUAACGGCUAACAUUGCCGCCUCUCACAAAUCUUUGAAAGUGCGCGGCAGCUCGGGGUUCGAUUCCCCGUAUCCGAA